GUGGGGAAUAUUGGACAAUGGGCGAAAGCCUGAUCCAGCAAUGCCGCGUGAGUGAUGAAGGCCUUAGGGUUGUAAAGCUCUUUUACCAGGGAUGAUAAUGACAGUACCUGGAGAAUAAGCUCCGGCUAACUCCGUGCCAGCAGCCGCGGUAAUACGGAGGGAGCUAGCGUUGUUCGGAAUUACUGGGCGUAAAGCGCGCGUAGGCGGCUACUCAAGUCAGAGGUGAAAGCCCGGGGCUCAACCCCGGAACUGCCUUUGAAACUAGGUAGCUAGAAUCUUGGAGAGGUCAGUGGAAUUCCGAGUGUAGAGGUGAAAUUCGUAGAUAUUUGGAAGAACACCAGUGGCGAAGGCGACUGACUGGACAAGUAUUGACGCUGAGGUGCGAAAGCGUGGGGAGCAAACAGGAUUAGAAACCCGAGUAGUCC
rnacentral:rRNA from 1 species